CCUGAUCCAGCCAUGCCGCGUGUGUGAAGAAGGUCUUCGGAUUGUAAAGCACUUUAAGUUGGGAGGAAGGGCUUUAGGCUAAUACCCUGAAGUUUUGACGUUACCGACAGAAUAAGCACCGGCUAACUCUGUGCCAGCAGCCGCGGUAAUACAGAGGGUGCAAGCGUUAAUCGGAAUUACUGGGCGUAAAGCGCGCGUAGGUGGUUCAGUAAGAUGGGUGUGAAAUCCCCGGGCUCAACCUGGGAACUGCAUCCAUAACUGCUGGGCUAGAGUACGGUAGAGGGUAGUGGAAUUUCCUGUGUAGCGGUGAAAUGCGUAGAUAUAGGAAGGAACACCAGUGGCGAAGGCGACUACCUGGACUGAUACUGACACUGAGGUGCGAAAGCGUGGGGAGCAAACAGGAUUAGAUACCCUGGUAGUCCACGCCGUAAACGAUGUCAACUAGCCGUUGGGAACCUUGAGUUCUUAGUGGCGCAGCUAACGCACUAAGUUGACCGCCU
rnacentral:rRNA from 1 species